CUCCUUGAUGCCGGACAGGCUGAAGUUGCUAUCGAUGUCGAAGCCAGACGAGACGUGGUAAGGCGAGUAAUCCUCAUCAGCAUCCCAUAUUCUAUCAUAUGGAUCAAGAGGCGCUGUAGGCCCCAACAGGCAGAGGCCGGACCUCAACAGACGAGACGACCGGGAACCCCCCAUUCGGGAUGGAGUGGAAGCACAAGGGCAACACAUCCUUAUUAGGCGCCCACACGAAUUCCUCAAUCCAAGGAUCGGUGUGGGCAAGAUUGACCGUGGUGGUGAUAGCCGUGCCAAGAGAGACAGAGAACACAGGGGGCUUCUCAAGGCCGUCGUAGUUCUUGUACACGAACGUGCUCCUCACAAGAAACAGCGAUGAGGUGUUGUGCAAUGGUAGCCUGUAGCAGUUUCUCCCCAACGAAUCCGGGAAGAAUCUGAGCGAGCGAGACGUGCCCUCUGGGAAAACAACACUACUGAUGUUCCCUUUGCUCACAUAAUAUCCAUCCGCUGUCCACGAAACAUUGGAAGAAUCGACGUAGUUCACACUUCCACCACAUGCUAAACUCAAGAAUCCUAACAAAAGCAGCAAAGGAAACAGAUUUAUAAGGUAUGAACUAUGAACACACACUCUUACAACUUCUCUUUCAACAAUUACAUGAAUAAUCUCAAGAAAGAAGGAAAUGAAAUACCAUCUUGGUAGCAUAGAGUGAGCCUGAUGAGUGCUGAAAAUAGUGAUAAGAUAAGCCAGUUGAAUUGAUGCUCCAUAAAGUAGAAAUGUGAGAAGCUAAAUGCAGGUAUGUAGUAAAUCCCAGUUGAUCAUAGAGAUGUGGUUAGUUCUUGAGGAGAGAGGAAGCAAGAAGAGAGCAAUGAGAGGUGAAGCUGUUGAGUGAAGUAAUAAAAAAGCCAAGUUUUGACCGUUACAAUGCAUGCUGUUCUAGAUUGAGCUAUGUUUGGGGCAAGUAAUUAUCAUGAGUGAUGAUGUCUUGGUUACCUUGGAAGAGAGGGACCAUAUUCACAAAGCAUCAAGUGAAAAGGUGCAUAUCUUGCUCCCACCCUACCCUACCCAUCCAAUCAUCACCACCCCCCACAAAAGAACAAUCUUUGCAUUUGUUAGGACAAGCAAGAUGUUGGUGGUAGAAGAAGUGUGUGCUUUCUAGUAAGGUGGAGUUUUAGUCUCUAAUCUUUUAAGAUGGGAAAAGUUGGAAACUUUAGUUAGUUCUCUCACAUGGUUUGCACACAACAGGCUUGUUAGUAGUUUUCAAGAACACAUGAAUCCAUUUGUUUUUCAGUUUCUUGUAAUGAGGCAUGAAUUCAAAUUUAUCAGUGAAGAAACAAUCAGUGGUGAUUUAUUUGUUUUUUGUUUUCUCA